UAGUCUUAUACAUAGACGAGACGAUGUCGGAUUUUCGAUAAGGAUUUAUAUGAUAAUUGAUUGGUGAUAUGUUAUGUGGAAUAUGAUUGACUAUAUGUUAGAGUCAAAGCAUGCUUAUGUGUUACGUGGUAUCUGAUAAGUUUAAAGGGGUAUAUAAGUGGGUAUCGGUAUACGUGAUAUGUAUAUGCGAUAUAUUGUUUAGUGACUAUAGUAUUAUCUUAUUCUCGUAAAGGAUUUGGACGAGACGUGUACGCUCGAAGACGUCAGGAAGUCGAAAUGGUAUUGCAAAGCGAAUAAGGGAUGAAUCGAGUAAGCGAAGCGAAGAUGUACGGUAGAUAGAGUAUAGCCAGAGAUGGUCUAGAGACUAUGAGAUGCAUAGAUUGUGAAAGUGGAAAGAUGAGAUUGAGAUGUGAGACUGGAGUCAGAUUUAAGGCAAGUAUCCUAAACCUUUCUCUUGGAUAUAUUGCAAAUAUUCUGAUCCAUUCCUUUGGUAUAUGUUUCAAGUAUUCAUACCUUUCUUUUCAAUGUUCGAAAGUGCGAGUAUUCUGACCCAUUCUUUCUAAUCUUCAAGUUUCUAAAGAAUUUCCGUUUUACAAAUUAAUUCGAAGUUCAGAUUGUCAUUGAAGCAUGUGUUGCUCAGUGAUAGUUAGAGCUUUGAAUGAAUUGGGAUCUUCUUGAUUAUUCAACCCGCCAUUGUCAUGCUGGUUUAGCAGGCUAAAUUCAGUUGCUUAGCCGAUAAUGGAGGAUACUGAAUAGUUGAGGAUUUCCUGAACUGUGAUUUAUGAAAUGAUGGAUCAUGAUUUAUGAAUAGAUUAUUAUCAAAGUUUGAAUUGGAAUUAUUCUGUUGUUGAUGAUAUUUAUGAUGAUGUUCUGUUAAUUUACAUUGGCUUCUUGAAUUGAAUUAGAGAAUUGGAUUAUUGUUUUUAUAUAAACCUGUGGACCAGAUUCGUGGUCAUGUUAGGCCAAUGAGUGCCUUGGAUCCAGUGAUAGAGCAUGGCGGGGCCUGCUCGGGGUUAGUGCGGAACUGAUCAGCUGCCUAACCUUGGUUUUAAUUAAAAUGUGAUAGUCCAAUUCAAUAAUUCUUUGGAAAGAUUGAAUUUCUCAGUUUAAAUGCUGCAAGGUAUUGUAAAUCAUUCUAUACAAUACCAUGAACUCAUGAACUCAUGUUGAAUCCUUUUAUAUCUUGAACUCGUGAACUUCUAUUAUAUCAUUUCAGAACUAUCAUUGUUUAUUAUUACUUGCUGAGCAUUGUUGCUCACCCUUGCUAUUCCUUUCUAACCAUUUCAGAAAGGCUUAAAGAUGAGAUGAUUGAUUGAGAUUGUGAGUAAGGCUAAUGCUAGGCGAGGAGACAGAGUUGAGGAUCCAGUGGUCGAGGAGUGUUCAGGAAAGUUGAUGAGGUUGGUGCAAGCUGGAAUAGUUGACAGUGAUUCUUCUUAUCGAAGAUGAUCUGAUUUGGUAAGAGAUGUUGUGUAAUAAUAGUGGUAGAUUCUAAUUUCAAUACUGUAACCUGGAUGCGAUCCUGUUGCUUUUAGGGGGUUUAAAUGUUCUCUUUCGAAUCAUUUAUUAAAGUUUAAAUGUUCUCUUGAAAUUCUCCUAUUAUGGCUUUCAAGUUUGAAAUUCAGGUUUUGAAAUCAUUCGAUUUAUGUUCUCAUUCAAAUCUUUUAUUAAAUGUUUUCAGGUUUUAAAUUCUUUGAUUUCAUUAUAAAAAAAAAAAAAAAUUUAGGUUUUCGAAAGUGUUUUAAAAAGGUUUUUAUGUGGUGACGUCAGAAUCCAGGCCCCCGGAUUCCUGGACCGUCACAGUUGGUAUCAGAGCCACAGGUUAUAAGUAUUUGAAAUUAGAAUAUAGAUCAUAGUUAUAGGUUUUCUAGAGAAGAAUAUUGUGUGACCUCGUACAGAGGUAUUAUUAGACUAUUUAGAAAUAGUCUAGAGAUGUGAUAGAGGUAUAGAAUCUAGUUAGACGAUCAAGUUGAGUGUAUAAGGUUAGAGAGAUUUUGAUUCCUAAGUUAGACAUAUGAUUUCUAGUAUGUUGACUCAUUGAGAUGUUGAAUUGUGAGGAAGGUCAAGAUUAGACCUAGAUAGAAGAGUUUGAUAGUGAAUGAUUGAGUUAAGAAUGGUGAAGAUGCAGAGUUCAGAGUAUUCUGACUAUACUGCAUAGUUGAGAAUGGUCUAUGGUAUUGAUUUGAGAAUGAUAAAGAUGCAUGGUUCAUAGUAUGUUGACCAUGUCAGAUGUUUGGAAGAAGUAUAUUGUUUUUGUGAGAUAUUGAAGAAGGAGUGUAAGAUAUGAGUUAUGUUGGAUUAGAAGGGGGAUUUGUAGAUAGAGGUUGAUAGAUGAGAAGUGAAUGAUAAAAAGUAUGUGGAAUUGAGUGUAGUUAUUAGGGGAGAUGUCGGUGAGUAAUUUAGAACGUUAAUCCUCGACGACAACGCUUUAAGCUAAUCGGGACUUCAAACGACAUCAAGGUGGGCCCAUAACCCACAAGUUGAUGAUCCAGACAAUCGAAGAUACGCUACGUGUUGUGCUAUGGAAUUCAAAGGCAACUGGAUGAAACAUGAGAACGUGAACUAUUUGGGCCAGACUUAUUACGAACUAUAACGUCUACGAUGACAUCUUACGAGGCUAUUACGAGUCAACAUCGAUUGAUUAUCAAGAACGUUGAAAAGAAGACAUACGACGGACAAUGAUUUAUUGAAGCAGAGCGAAAAUCUGAGAAGACCUGGGCAAUACCUCUCUUCAACUAAAAGUUCUUUUGAUUCUUUUCUCAUUAGUGAGAUAUUAUCAUGAUAUCCUUUCGACCAAAGUUUCGAUAAAGGAGAUUUUCAAUUUCUCAAAUUCUAAGAUGAUAAUGAUAUUGAUUAUUGGUGUGAGUUAGUAUUGAAUCGGUGUAUGAUAAAGACGUGUUUAUGAAGAGACAGUGGAAUUCCUUGAUAUUAUUUGAUAUUCUUUGAUAUCCUUUGAUAUUCAUCCAUAUUCUUUGAUGUCCCUUAAUAUUCGUCGAUAUUCUUUGACACUCCUUGAUAUUCCUUGAUAUCUUUUUGAUAUUCCUUAAUAUAUUCCUCGAUAAUCCUUAACAUUCCUUGAUGCUCCUUGAGAUUUCUUGGAUUCUUUCCAUCUGAUUGGGAUGAACAACCCUAUGAAUAGGGGACACAAGGUAUACCUGUCUGUGUGAUAGGAGUUGGAUGGGACGCCAUCACUUGUGUGUGUUGUGAUUACAAGAAGGUUAACAACCUUUAGUAGUGUCUAAUAUGGACACGCAACAUUAAGUUCAUUUGAUCGUAUUGAUCUCCCAGUCACUCUUGUAUUCCAAUGUGACCUAUUUUGAAAAUAUCUUGUUCCUCCGAAAUUCCCAAAGAUUGAUUCUUGGGAAAUGAAGUUUGCAAUUGUGAAGGUGUUGAUUUUCCUAUUUCUUUAACUUUGAAGGUAUGCCAAAGUUGAUCAAAGGCGGAUGAGCAUGUGAUAUUAUGAAGCGUGUACCACGAUCUUAUAAAUGAUACGUUUUAGUUUCUUCGGAGGAUUCCGAGGACGGAAUCCUUAUAAGGGGGGUAGAAUGUAAUAUCCCAUAUUUUUAAAUUUAGAUUUGAUUGUUAUAAAUCUAUCUGUCUAAAUAUUAUUGUUGGCUUUAGUUGAAAAGUGAAUUGAUUAUGUGAAUAGUUUUAUAUGAUUAUACUUGUUUUGUGGAUUAAUAUGGAUUUUACAAAUAUUGCGUCCUCCUUCUUUCUCUGAUUCCGAGGACGGAAUCCCUAUAAGGAGGGUAGAUUGUAAUAACCCGGAUUUUAAAAAUAUCUUUAUUAAUAUUAUAAAUGAUUUUCUUAAAAAGUAAGGAAUAAGAUUUAAUAUUUUAUUCCAGUUUAAGGAGUUUUCAAGGUUUUAUAUUUAAACCCCGGGUUAUUGUGUUAUUGAUAAAUAAUUGUAUUUUCAAAAGUGAUUUUCAUAUAUUGUUUCGAAAAUUCUGUAUGAAUAUUAUGUGAAUAUAUGUGUGAUGUGAGUAAGUGGUAUUGGUGGAUUUGUUGGUUAAUUAAUUAUGGUUAAUUAUGAGUAUUAUAUGAUUAAUAUAUGAAUUUUUGUGAAUUUUAUAUUAUCUGGUUUAUUGCGUUAACUGCUCAUAUGUGUUCGUAUUUGAGAGAUUUCAAUUUCUAUAUGCUCAGGAGAAAAUAUAGUUUAUUUGGAUAUUUUCAUAUCGAUUUAUGGAAUGUUAGAUGAUUUUAUAAUCGAUUUACGGAUUUAAUUGCGUAUAUUUAUAUUUAUUUAUUAAUUAUUUGACUUCCGUAAAACCGUCCACUCGUAACGAGGUAGCAAAUUUUCUUCCCGGAAGUUUCAACAAAACUGACCUUUAGCCUAAUUUGAAUAUUCCGGACACUUUUCGUGUUUUGACUUUUUCGAUCCGGAGUACGGUUUUCCCCGGAGUCGGUCCGGCGGAGUUUUUCGGGUAUUUUAAUUGUUGAUAAUUAUCCAGUUUGUCUCGAUAAGCGUGAAACGAGAUAUUUUGAUUAUUAUAUUCAUCCUUAUCUUGUAAUAAUUGCAAUGGGACCCGCAGACCAAUAAUUGAGUUAAAAAGCCCCGUUUUGAUGAUUAUCUCGAAAACCAGUACCGAUUGGACCCCGCUUUAUUAAUAUAAAGCUAUUAAAUACGUAUUUUCAUGUCAUAAACGAUCCAAAGGGGUACCAAUUAUUUGUAAAUAUAAAUAGACCUUUCUAGAGCUUAUUUUCACCCGUAAAAUCAUUUCACCAGUUUCUCUGCACGAAUACCGAGAGAAACCGAGCGGUGUUCUUCGUGUUCUUCAUAAUCAAACGAAGAUUUGAAGGUGUUAUUGGAGUCAGAAUCAAGCGUGCGAAUAGUCAAAUCGAAGAUAUCGAAGAGUAGAACCCAAAUCAAUCAUCAAAAACAACAUGAGAUUCACAGGUAGGGAGUAAUUGAAGUUUUAAAAUUCGAAUUAUUAUGAUUUAAAUAGUGAAUUUUUGCAAACGUGUUUGUUUGAUUGUUUGGAUGAUUCCAUGUUGUAGAACGUGUUUUUCUCGUCGUUUUGGUAUAUUAUAUGUUGAAUUUUGAGUUCGGAAACAUAUAGAAAAGUCCGUUUGAUUAUGUGGUUGUGUUCUUGAGUGUUCUUGAACUUUCGCCGGAAAGUUAUGAUUUUUGGUCGGAAAAUCGUUCUGUAGAGUAUGAAUUGUUUCUAAAGUCAUGUAUAAGAUCCUGGUGAUGUGUAGAGUCGAUUUAUAGGUUUGAUUUCAGUGUGGGAUAAGGAUUUGGGGCUCGCCGGAUAGUGGUGGCGGCGGUUUUUGACGGAUUUUUCCGGCCAGUUGGCUGCGUUUUUGGUGAAAACAAGGUGCUACAAUGAUUCCUGGUAUAAUAUACUCGUGAUCUGGAGAGUUUUGAAUGUUUCUGGGCUUGGGAAAGGUGGUGCCGGCAUCGUUCCGGCGGAUCUGGGGCCGGCAGUGGCAAAUUGCCAUUUGACCCCCAGAGUUUGGAAGAUGAUGAAGAGGUGACACUGUAGUUUCUGUUUUGACGGUUCAGCCCCUGUAACUUUUGAAAGUUACACUUUAAACCCUGUCAGAAAACUUUCAAAACUAUACACUUUAAACCUUUUGAUUUUAAUUUUCAAAAAUUGUUUUAUUUAAUUAUUUUAAAUUCCAAAAAUAGUUUUUAAUUAUUUCUUUAUUCAAAAAUAAAUCUAAAUUAGUUUGUUAAUUAAUUUUAAUUAGUAAUUAAUUAUUUUAAUUAGUCAAUUAAUUUAAAUAUUAAUUGAUUAAUUAUUUUAAUUAAUUAUUAAUUGAUUUUAAUUGAUUAAUUAAUUGGAUUUAAUUAAUCCUUUUUGAUUUAAAAAUUCCGAAAAAUAGUUUCGAGCUUUAAAAUAUUUUUCCAAAUUAUUUUCAAGGCUCGAUAAUUGUUUAUGAAUGAUUUCAAGUCCAAUUUCAAGUAUUUGGGACUUGAUUAUUUAUCCGAAAAGUGAUUCUUUUAUCGAUUUUAAUUCCGAAAAAUGUUUAAAAAUUCCAGAAAAUUCCCGAAAAAUCAUUUUUAACCCAAGACUUGAUUUAAUAUCAAUUGGGAUGGGAAACCUUAUGUGUUGUGUGUUGUCUGCUAUUGGUUGGAUGUGUUAUGUGCCGAUAGGAGAGUGAGAAAACUGUUUUGAGCAUAACUUUUGAUCCGUAAGUCGGAAUCAAGUGAAACGAAAGAGAGACAGAAGCUUAUAACGUCUAUUUUAAUAUGAUGUGACUAUAUGGCUGAGUCUAUAAGGUGAAUAAUUGUUGAUAAGUAUGCAUAAUGUGAUAAUAUGUGAUCUAAGUGCUAUCAAGUGAUGAUUAUGUGAAGUACGUGUUAGUUUUGAUAUUGUGAAGUGAUAAAUGAUUCGUAUGAUUGAUAUUGGAUAAGAAUAUAUGGAUUAUAGUUAUUGGAUUUUGUUGGUUGAUUAAUGAUUGAGAUAGGAUAACAGGUGGAUAGUCUUAUACAUAGACGAGACGAUGUCGGAUUUUCGAUAAGGAUUUAUAUGAUAAUUGAUUGGUGAUAUGUUAUGUGGAAUAUGAUUGACUAUAUGUUAGAGUCAAAGCAUGCUUAUGUGUUACGUGGUAUCUGAUAAGUUUAAAGGGGUAUAUAAGUGGGUAUCGAUAUACGUGAUAUGUAUAUGCGAUAUAUUGUUUAGUGACUAUAGUAUUAUCUUAUUCUCGUAAAGGAUUUGGACGAGACGUGUACGCUCGAAGACGUCAGAAAGUCGGAAUGGUAUUGCAAAGCGAAUAAGGGAUGAAUCGAGUAAGCGAA
rnacentral:lncRNA from 1 species